AAGUCGUAACAAGGUAACCGUAGGUGAACCUGCGGUUGGAUCAUUACUGAAUACUCAUGCGGGAUUCUCGGAUAUAGAAAAACAGCUUCUCGGAGUUGUUUUCAUGUCCGGGAAUCCCCCCCAUGAUAUUACACCCCCUUGUGAAUUGUUAACUGUAUUUUGGCAGCCGUCCAAAUUUCCUCAAUUUUUUUUGAGGUCUUUUUUUCGGCUAUCAGCUUUAAAAAAAUAAAAACACCACGGAACUUUUUAAUCCCAGUCUCCAAGUAAUUACCUUUUGGGUUUUACAAUAUAUAAGUAAUAGUAAACAACUUUUGACAACGGAUCUCUUGGCUCUC
rnacentral:misc_RNA from 1 species